rnacentral:rRNA from 1 species
AUGGCCGAGCUCGCGGCGGGCGCCGUGAGCUCGCUGCUGGUCGUCAUCCGCAGCGAGGCCCUGCUGCUGCGCGGCGUCCGGGACGACGUGCAGUUCAUCAAGGAGGAGAUGGAGAGCAUGAAGAGCUUCCUGGCGCACCUGGCCAGGUGGGCGCCCCCCGGCGGCGAGCACGACGAGCAGGUGCGCACCUGGAUGAACCAGGUGCGGCUGCUCGCCCAGGACUGCAACAACUGCAUCGACCUCUACCUCUACAGGGGGAAUCCUGACAUCCACCGCGCCAGAGGUGGGCUCCGAGGCUACCUCUGGUGGGCGACCUGGUUCUUGCACAAGCUGGCUGCACAGCACCGCGCGGCUGAGCAGCUGCGUCUUCUCAAGGAGCGGGCACGCGAUGUCGGCGAGCGGCGGUUGAGGUACGGCGUGGAGGUCCCGGACAAGUCCGGGAAGGGGCAAUUGGCUCUGACGGCAUCCUCGUCAUUGUGGGCUGCUGCGGCAGGUGGCUAUGCGGCCGGGGAUGACGAAGAAGAAGACGGUGAUGGUCAACUCAUGGGGGCAAUGGCGACCGACGGCCAUUCUGGUCCAAGAGCCUUCACUAAGCCUCGCACUCUGGACGACUACGUCAAGGCAAAGCUAUGGGAGUGGUUGCAAGGAGUUCCUGGUAACGCCGGCGAAACUUUGUCCAUGGUCGUGGUGGCACCCUACACAUAUGAGGACCUCCUCGCUCUUGUACAAGAAACUUGGCUUUUGAGUCAAAACCGGAGGGGCUACCAUCGCAUUGUCGUGGUUGACAUCCCAGCUGUGCACCCUGAUUUUAUGCUGCUACGGCCCAAGGAGGUUCUCUUCUACAUUCUGCGGGAGCUUAAGCUUGCCAAGUCCAAUCCCCAGGAGCAAGGCACAGAAGGCCAAGAGGAUCUGGACUCUUGGGAAGUUUACCUAAGAAGAUGGCAAAUUUACCGUGAAAAGAAGAGGGCUAUUGCUCUUCUUGACAUCGAGGAGAAUAUCGAAGAGAUGAAGAUUUAUGAAAAGCUUGACAAAAUCAAAAGUGAUAUUCAAGGUCGACUAGAGAAGGGCGACGGGCUUCCCAAGGGCGACAAGCUUCAGGGUGAUUUUGACAAGUUGGACCUAGACGUACUACUUCAGCUGCUGCUCCAGACAGCGUCUCAACAAGAUCAAAAGGGGAAGAACAAAGACAUGCAUAGAUUACCACCGUGGGACAAGGACAACAUCAUCGUCAAGAAGCUCAAGGAGCAUAUGGAAGUAGAGGAAAAGGACAAGAAGAUUGAAGAGAGAGAAGCUGCCAAGAAUAUGGGGGUGGAAGGAGAAGCCGCAGUUAAGCAUAUGGAAGAAGAGGGAGGAGGAGAAGUAACAUCCAAACAUAUGGAGGAGGGGGGAGGAGAAGUAGCCAUACAUAGGGAGGAGGAUAUGGAGGAGAGGGAAGGAGAAAUAACCAUACAUAGGGACGAAGAGGAAGAAGGGGGCGGGAGAGGAGAAACAACCGGGCAUAUGGAGGUGGGAGAAGGAGAAGUGGCCAUACACAGGGAGGAGGAUAUCGAGGGGGGAGGAGAAGUAGCCGCACAUAGGGAGGAGGAUAUGGAAGGAGAAGUAACCAUACACAGGGAGGAGGAGGAGGAGGAGAAAGAAGAAGAAGAAAAAGAAGAAGAAGAAGAAGAUGAUGAUGAUGAUGAUGAGGAUGAUGAUGAUAAUGAUGAUGAAGAAGAAGAGGAGGAGGAGGAGAUGAGGAGGAUGAGGAGGAGGAGGAGGAGGAGGAGGAGUACGCCACGGAUUCAGCUCGAUGAGGCACAAUAUGCACACAUCCUGAGGAAGCUGUUUCCCAAGAGCAGCAGCAGCAGCAGCAAGCCCGUGCAGGCCCAAGACAGAUCCUUGGACAAGCAAGCUACAAAGACCACAACGCCUACACUGGGUGAGGAUCAAAUCAAAAAACUCAUCCAUGACGCAAAGGAAGACAUCUUACGGGAGUUGCAGCAAGGCAAAUAUGACAAGAGUGAAGGGACAGGUGAACCUGGUGCUCCGGAUCAAAACCCAGAAACUGUUUCUGAAAAAAUACGUGCCGGUUUCGUGGACCAGAUGAUGGAAAAAAUGAAGCACGAGUUCAAAGAGCAGCUCAAGAUCAAAGGGCUCGUGAACGAGAUUAAAAAUAACUUGAAUCCUCAUCCGUUCCGGGAUAACAGGUGUGAGUGCCCCCUGUUUAUCCUAAAAGUUGAUGAGCUGAUGGAUGUUUCCACAUGUGAGGAUAUCAGAAAUGCUUUGAGCCUGUUAAACUGCAGUGCCGAUUUGAUGAUUGUCACCGCCGCAAAGGACAUCCAGCUGGCUAAAGAAUAUUGUUACCCACCUCGGGAACCAAUAGACUAUUCUCUUGCUGGCCUCUACCAUGAUACAGUGCUCAAGCUAACUAGUCAGCAGAAGAAUGAAGACAGCUACAACCCCCAAAUUUUUCAUGAUAUCUUGUAUGAGUGUGAGCCACAUGAAUUCUGCAUGAAGGUCUUCACUCAUGCUUUGUAUGCUAACCCCAAGAGGAGCGGCGAGGAGUUACAAAAGCUGCAUAGCACCUUGCAGGCUUUACCAACAACAUCAUUCAACAACAUUGCUAAGGUGAUGGUCAAGUUCUCUUACAAUGACCUGCCUAAAGAAUACAAGUCCUGCUUUCUGUACCUAGCUAUCUUCUCUCCGGGACAAAAGAUCAGUCGGUCAACCUUGGUUGCACGGUGGGUUGCAGAAGGGCUGACAUCCAAGGAAGAUUGGCCCAGUUCUAUGCGUCAGGCCAACCGAUGUUUUGACGCACUUGUUGGCCGGUGCCUUGUUCAUCCUGCAGAUAUUGGUACCACAGGAAAUGUAAAGAGUUGCAUCGUUGGUGAUCCGGUUCAUGGAUUCAUUACUGCCAUCGCCAGAAAACAACACAUUGUGGAGACACGCCUGUCACAUCACUUGGCUCGCCACUUCUCCAUUUUCAACGAUCUCCAACUCCGCAGCUCCGAUAGAAUUGAUAAAUUCUUCCAGGGCCUCUCUAAAUCAUCUCAAGUGUCACUGCUCAAGGUGCUAGAUCUAGAAGGUUGUCAGUGCUUUGGCGGGAAGAACCAGCGGUACCUCAAGGAUAUCUGCAACAAGAUGUUAUUGCUCAAGUAUCUGAGCCUGAGGAGAACAGAUAUUACCCAGCUACCCAGUGAAAUCAACAACCUCCGUGAGCUAGAGGUACUGGAUAUCCGACAAACUGCAAUACCUCAACAUGCAACAGCGAAUAUCCUGCUCUUGAAGCUGAAGCGUCUGCUUUCUGGUCACAUUGAUCCAAACAAUUUUGGAUCUAGUAGUCGGAUUCCUCAUAGGAUCGACAAAAUGGUAAGCAUGGAGGUACUAUCCAAUGUCAAGGCCCAGCAGAGUUAUGAUUUAAAAGAUAUUGGAAAGCUAUGGCAGCUGAGGAAGCUAGGUGUGGUUAUCGAUGAUAAGGAUAGUCACCUCAAGAAUUUGCUUCAGACGAUCAGUGACCUACAUGAGUGCCUCCGUUCUCUGUCAAUCACUACUAUUCCCGUAGCCACACCAUGCGAGGCAGAGUUUCCAGAUGUCAAGAACCAUCCCAAGAUUCUCGAGUCUCUAAGCAUCAAGGGAACCACACAAAAUGGGCGUCUUCUUCCAUUUUUCAUAGAAGGUAAUAACAACAAACUUGCCAAGAUAACUCUAGGUCACACUCUGCUGAGCCAAGAUGAUCUGAAAGUCCUUGCCAAGCUGCCCAAGUUACGGUGUGUUAGGCUCCAACACAUUGUAUGCACCGAGCACAUGCUGAACUUCAAGGAAGGUGAAUUCAGAUGCCUCAAGUACCUUGUUGUUGAGGGCUCGGACUUGACUAAUAUCACUUUUGAGGAUGGUGCAGCCAGUGAGCUCGAGAAGAUGGUUUUGUCUAUCACCAGCAUAUGUUCUAUUUCUGGAGUUGAGUAUCUUUCUGAAUUGAAAGAGCUUGAGUUGAACAGCAGCUUUUGCGGCAGUUUGCUGUCAUCAUUUGACAAUGCCAAACAGAUAGCCAAGCUGACUCUUCGUAAUACAUUGCUAGAGCAAGCUGCUCUACAACUGCUCACCAAGAAACCAAAUAUACGCUGUCUGGUGCUCUUGGACAAGUCUUUUGGUGGAACACAAAACAAGAUCACAUUAGAAAAAGAUGAGUUCUUAUGGCUCAACCUCCUUGUUGUUGACUGCUCGGCCAUCACCAAGAUUGUCUUCAACAACGGGUCUGCUUCUAGGCUCGAGAAGAUUGUCUGGUCAUCUUCCACAUCUCUGUCCGGCAUCGACAAACUUCCCAGAUUGAAGGAGCUCGAGUUCAAGGGUGACCAAGUCCCUCCUGAGGUGAGAGAUGCCAUUGAAAACCAUAAAAACAAGCCUAGUCUUAAACUCAAUGGACCAAAAACUCAAGACUAA